UUUUUGUACUCUCCGUUUACAACUGAGGUAAUUAAGCUGCCCCAUUUAGGGGAACCUCCCACAUUUCUGGUGGCGACGUUUGCCUUGAACGCAACCUCUCCAAAAUGUACCAUCUUCCUUUUGUGGAGUAAAUAUGGGAAAAUUUAUAUAAAGUUAUGUUCUGCGGGUGAUUGUUCAUGGAAGACUUUUGAGUUCGAUGGUUUUGAUUGGCCUAAUCCUGCUGUUGAUGCUGCCUACGCCAACGGAGUUUUCUAUUGUGUUUUUAGAGGAGGUCAAUUGGGUGCCUUCGAUGUGGAACACACAGAGUGGACUAUUCUGGUUGAUCAUCGACUCCCAAGCUUUAAUUUCCCCUUU